AUGAAGAACGAGUGCAACCAUUACUGCCUCGACUGCACGAGAGAGGACGACUCCAUCUGCUGCACCCAGUGCGUCUCCGCCCACCGCAACCAUCACGUCGUCCAGAUUCGAAAGUCGUCAUACCGCGAAGUGAUCCGGGUGGCGGAGUUGAAGGCGGUGGCAGACGUCUCGCAGGUGCAGACGUACGUCAUCAACUAUGAUAGGGUGGUGUUCCUGAACCGGCGGCCGCAGGCGCCGCAGCACGGUGUCAAGUGCGUCGGCCCCGCUGGUGCGUGCCUGGAGUGCGGCCGGGGACUCGUGGAUGCUAACUUCCUCUUCUGCUCACUGAGCUGCAAGCUUGAUGGAAUGGUGUGUGAUCCCAAUCUAACUUUCAUUGUUGAUCCAAGACGCAACCGGGAAGACUCGGGCCUAGAAACAUAA
rnacentral:rRNA from 1 species